rnacentral:rRNA from 1 species
AGAGUUUGAUCCUGGCUCAGGAUGAACGCUGGCGGUAUGCUUAACACAUGCAAGUCGAACGGAGUUCCUUCGGGGACUUAGUGGCGGACGGGUGAGUAACACGUGAGAACCUACCCUUAGGAUGGGGACAACAGUUGGAAACGACUGCUAAUACCCGAUGUGCCGAAAGGUGAAAGAUUUAUCGCCUAAGGAAGGGCUCGCGGCUGAUUAGCUAGUUGGUAAGGUAAAGGCUUACCAAGGCGACGAUCAGUAGCUGGUCUGAGAGGAUGAGCAGCCACACUGGGACUGAGACACGGCCCAGACUCCUACGGGAGGCAGCAGUGGGGAAUUUUCCGCAAUGGGCGAAAGCCUGACGGAGCAAUACCGCGUGUGGGAGGAAGGCUCUUGGGUUGCAAACCACUUUUCUCAGGGAAGAAUAGAUGACGGUACCUGAGGAAUAAGCAUCGGCUAACUCCGUGCCAGCAGCCGCGGUAAUACGGAGGAUGCAAGCGUUAUCCGGAAUCAUUGGGCGUAAAGCGUCCGCAGGUUGCCUAUCAAGUCUGCUGUCAAAGCGCAGAGCUCAACUCUGUAAAGGCAGUGGAAACUGAUAAGCUAGAGUACGGUAGGGGUAGCGGGAAUUCCCAGUGUAGCGGUGAAAUGCGUAGAUAUUGGGAAGAACAUCGGUGGCGAAGGCGCGCUACUGGGCCGAAACUGACACUGAGGGACGAAAGCUAGGGGAGCGAAAGGGAUUAGAUACCCCUGUAGUCCUAGCCGUAAACGAUGGAAACUAGGCGUGGCUUGUAUCGACCCGAGCCGUGCCGAAGCUAACGCGUUAAGUUUCCCGCCUGGGGAGUACGCACGCAAGUGUGAAACUCAAAGGAAUUGACGGGGGCCCGCACGAGCGGUGGAGUAUGUGGUUUAAUUCGAUGCAACGCGAAGAACCUUACCAAGGCUUGACAUGUCGCGAAUCCUGCUGAAAGGUGGGAGUGCCUUAGGGAGCGCGAACACAGGUGGUGCAUGGCUGUCGUCAGCUCGUGUCGUGAGAUGUUGGGUUAAGUCCCGCAACGAGCGCAACCCUCGUUUUUUUUGCCAGCAUUAAGUUGGGCACUCUAGAGAGACUGCCGGUGACAAACCGGAGGAAGGUGGGGAUGACGUCAAGUCAGCAUGCCCCUUACGUCUUGGGCAACACACGUACUACAAUGGUCGGGACAAAGAGCAGCGACCUCGCGAGAGUAAGCGAAUCUCAUCAAACCCGGCCUCAGUUCAGAUUGCAGGCUGCAACUCGCCUGCAUGAAGGAGGAAUCGCUAGUAAUCGCAGGUCAGCAUACUGCGGUGAAUUCGUUCCCGGGCCUUGU